UACGUAGGGUGCGAGCGUUGCCCGGAAUUUAUUGGGCGUAAAGAGCUCGUAGGCGGCUUGUCACGUCGGGUGUGAAAGCCCGGGGCUUAACCCCGGGUCUGCAUUCGAUACGGGCUGGCUGGAGUGUGGUAGGGGAGAUCGGAAUUCCUGGUGUAGCGGUGAAAUGCGCAGAUAUCAGGAGGAACACCGGUGGCGAAGGCGGGUCUCUGGGCAGUAACUGACGCUGAGGAGCGAAAGCGUGGGGAGCGAACAGG
rnacentral:rRNA from 1 species